rnacentral:tRNA from 1 species
GGGUGGUUAGCUCAGUCGGUAGAGCAGCAGGCUGUUAACCUGCGGGUCGGGGGUUCGAGCCCCUCACCACUCGCCA